rnacentral:tRNA from 1 species
UAUAUUUUAGUAUAAGAUGUAUUCAGAUUUUUGGAGUCUGGGGGGCUGGUUUAAUUCCAUCAAAUAUAA